UUCGGGGUAGAGAAUAAAGCGUUAAGUGCUAAAAGGACGGAAUGUGUCUUUUAGACGAAAGGUUUUUACCUGCGGUUUUAUUUUCGCAUUCGCCGCA
rnacentral:ncRNA from 2 species